UACGUAGGGGGCUAGCGUUGUCCGGAAUCAUUGGGCGUAAAGCGCGCGUAGGCGGCCCGGUAAGUCCGCUGUAAAAGUCCAGGGCUCAACCCUGGAAAGCCGGUGGAUACUGUCGGGCUCGAGUCCGGGAGAGGUGAGUGGAACUGCGAGUGUAGAGGUGAAAUUCGUAGAUAUUCGCAAGAACACCAGUGGCGAAGGCGGCUCACUGGCCCGGUACUGACGCUGAGGUGCGAAAGCGUGGGGAGCAAACAGG
rnacentral:rRNA from 1 species